rnacentral:rRNA from 1 species
AAGUUGGAUUUAAUCCCGAGUUUCACUUUAGCCAAAGGUUCUAAGUGCCUUUCAUGUGUGCAAGCUAAGCAACCUCGCAAGCCUCAUAAGGCCGCGGAGGAGAGACACCUGGCACCAUUAGAACUCAUACAUUAUGAUCUUUGCGAGAUGAAUGGUGUGUUGACUAAAGGUGGAAAGAGAUACUUCAUGACAUUGAUAGAUGAUUCCACUAGAUAUUGCUAUGUGUAUCUGUUAAAUACUAAAGAUGAGGCUCUACACUACUUUAAAAUCUAUAAGGCAGAAGUUGAAAAUCAACUUGAAAAGAAAAUUAAACGAGUCCGGUCAGAUCGUGGUGGAGAGUACUUCUCGAGUGAGUUUGAUUCCUUCUGUGCGGAACACGGCAUUAUUCAUGAGAGGACGCCUCCCUAUUCACCCCAGUCAAACGGGGUUGCCGAGCGGAAAAACCGUACUCUAACUGAUUUGGUUAACGCCAUGUUAGAUACAUCGGGUUUAUCCAAGGCAUGGUGGGGGGAGGCUAUAUUGACGGCAUGUCAUGUCCUGAAUAAAGUUCCGACAAAGGAUAGUGAGAUCACUCUCUAUGAGAAAUGGGCAAAGAGAAGGACGACACUCUCGUACUUGCGCACUUGGGGCUGUUUGGCGAAAGUCAACGUGCCGAUCCCCAAAAAGCGUAAGCUUGGACAUAAGACCGUGGACUGCAUUAAUUUGGGCUACGCUAAGAACAGCGUUGGCUAUAGAUUUCUAGUAGUGAAAUCUGAGGUACCUGACCAGAAGAUCGGUACAAUUAUGGAGUCUAAGGAUGCUACAUUCUUUGAGGAUAUUUUUCCUAUGAGAGAUAUGCAAAGCACUUCUAGACAGGAAUCUGAGGAGACUCCUGAACCUGCCAUCCCUAUGGAAUAUUAUGAACAAACACAUGAUGAAAAUCCCGAGGAGGAUGACGAGGAA